UACAGAGGUCCCAAGCGUUGUUCGGAUUCAUUGGGCGUAAAGGGUGCGUAGGCGGCGCGGUAAGUCGGGUGUGAAAUCUCGGGGCUUAACUCCGAAACUGCAUUCGAUACUGCCGUGCUUGAGGACUGGAGAGGAGACUGGAAUUUACGGUGUAGCGGUGAAAUGCGUAGAUAUCGUAAGGAAGACCAGUGGCGAAAGCGGGUCUCUGGACAGUUCCUGACGCUGAGGCACGAAGGCCAGGGGAGCAAACGGG
rnacentral:rRNA from 1 species